UACGUAGGGUGCGAGCGUUGUCCGGAAUUAUUGGGCGUAAAGAGCUCGUAGGCGGCUUGUCGCGUCGAAUGUGAAAACUCGGGGCUCAACUCCGAGCUUGCAUUCGAUACGGGCAGGCUAGAGUUCGGUAGGGGAGACUGGAAUUCCUGGUGUAGCGGUGAAAAUGCGCAGAUAUCAGGAGGAACACCGAUGGCGAAGGCAGGUCUCUGGGCCGAUACUGACGCUGAGGAGCGAAAGCGUGGGAGCGAACAGG
rnacentral:rRNA from 1 species